UUGGGGAACAGAAGUUCGUUUAGG
rnacentral:piRNA from 1 species